rnacentral:rRNA from 1 species
UGGCGGACGGGUGAGUAAUGUCUGGGAAACUGCCUGAUGAGGGGGAUAACUACUGGAAACGGUAGCUAAUACCGCAUAACGUCGCAAGACCAAAGAGGGGGACCUUCGGGCCUCUUGCCAUCGGAUGUGCCCAGAUGGGAUUAGCUAGUAGGUGGGUAACGGCUCACCUAGGCGACGAUCCCUAGCUGGUCUGAGAGGAUGACCAGCCACACUGGAACUGAGACACGGUCCAG